UUCCACUGGAUAUCAUAAGGUGAAUGCACCAUUUUGUAAGUCGCUCUGGAUAAGAGCGUCUGCUAAAUGACUUAAAUGUAAUGUAAAUGUAAUGUUACACACAUCGCUGUUGAUCCACCCACUACUUUUGCAACGCCCACUUUCAGACCCACUCCAGGUAUGAAGUUACCCAUACUUGCUGUCAUUCUCUACAUACUUCAGUCUGAGACUGCCAUCAUUGAAGUUGUUUGUGGUGACGAUAGGCACAAGGGGCAUUGUACAAAACAAAGUAAUCAGCGAUUGGAUCGUCUGUAACCAAUCAAAGCCAAUGACACAUUUUCAAACCCACGUGUUCUAGCUCUGGCUAAACCCAUCGGUUUCUGAACCAAUCAGACAGCCCCGAAUGUGUUCACAUUGGGAGACGGGUCGGGGAGGUACUCAGAUCCAAAGUCAUUGCAGAGAAGAAACUAACGUCCGUGGGCGUGGCGUAGUGUUUGGCCAGAGCAAGGAGUGUGGGUAGCCAGCUACUGUACCAGGUGUCAGCAUGUUCACUGCUGAUGGAUUCCUGUUUCUCCAAUGGGAGUUUCUGAUGGCCACAACACUGUGUUGACAGAAGUGACAGAACCUUGGCGAGGGACAGCAAACAGCACCAGGACAGAGCCUCUGCAGACGCCAACAGGCACUGACUACUUAGUAUUUUCACUAUGAUCAUCAUUGGAAUGGAGAGAGUCAUUCAACUGGAUUUGGGCAUCCUAAAGAUAUUAAUACCCCACCCAAAUCCAGAAGCCUUUGAAGCCCACUCCCGCUGUUCAGAGACCAUCCCCUGGGCAUUUUCUAC
rnacentral:lncRNA from 1 species